AGAAUCAACGCUGGCGGCGUGCCUAACACAUGCAAGUCGAACGAGAAAGGGUAGCAAUACCUGAGUAAAGUGGCGCACGGGUGAGUAACACGUGACUAACCUACCUUUAGUGGGGGAUAACCUAGGGAAACCUGGGCUAAUACCGCAUAAUACCUACGGGUCAAAGCAGCAAUGCGCUGAUAGAGGGGGUCGCGGCCGAUUAGCUAGUUGGCGGGGUAAUGGCCCACCAAGACGAUGAUCGGUA
rnacentral:rRNA from 1 species